AGACCUCCUAGGCCUCUUGGGAUAACUAAGGAUUCAUAAUGUCUCUCCACAAAACUCUACUGCUCUGCUUGAUACUGGGUGUAAGUGUAAACCAGGCCCAAAGCAGGAAGCCAAAUGGUAAGUCAAACGAGAAUUACUCAUAUUAGAUAAUGAUGCCAAGAACUUUAUUGAGCAGCAAUUCAAUCGUAGUAACAACAUGUUGUACCGUCCCUGUGGGAUCAGCCGCGAACACGUAGGCCUAGUUAGUAAUGUUUAGUUUCUGAAUUUUAAACAUCAGUUUAUCAGGUUAACGAAGAGUCCGCAUACCAUACUAAAAAAGACGAGAUGGUGAACAUGGUCUGAAACAAAUCAGGCUUUUUUGGUCAAUGCCCAACCUUUUGUUCCCUUAACAGAAAGCUUACGGAUCACUACUGCCACGGGUGGGACCCUGCAGCCUUGGGUUAUUGGUCUGACUGCUGUAGUCGGAUUCCUCUUCAUUAUCUUCAUCAUCCUCAUUGUAAAAAGACUUUUCUUCAAGAAAGAUAGAGAGGAAGAUGGUGGCUAUUAUGAGAACAGUGCUGUAGAAAUCGAAGAACUUGAAAAUGCUGAUGGGUUUAAACAGACCAACCUAUAGAGACCACCAACCAAACCAUCCAGGGAGGGACACCAUCAUGUCAACCUGUGAAUGUAUUACUUUGAACUUGUUCAUUGUCUUAUCCUAUGAUGUGUGCAAAUUACAGAGAAGUUCAUUCAUUUUUACAUGUGGUAUUUUAAUCUCUGUUAUACUAAUCUCUCAAACCUUUUUUAUUUUUUAUCGUUUGUUACAUACAAAACUGAUUUGUUCGUAACAAACGAAGACAGAAGCUCACCAGAAACUACAAUACCUCAUGAAAAUGUGUCCAAAGCAUUUCAAAAACAAAUCAAAAGACAAACCAAUUCACAUCAGACUGCCUUUCAGAUUCUUUUCAUAAUCUCAACAUUAAUUGAUAUAUGAGGUAUGAUAAACAAUGACUAUCUAAAGUUUUCAAUGCAGCCCAUCUAGAUACUUCAAGCUUGAAGUUUCAACGUUUAUUUGUCAAAUACACCGAAACAACACAGCGUCAUCCUGCACAAUAAAAUUAUUGUGACUUGUACUAGAGUGUACUGAUGUGACAUUGAAAGUCCUAAAACUACACCAAACUAAAUGUAUUUUGUGAUGUGCUGUACGCUGUUAUUGUUCUAUAUAUUAUGUAGUAAAAGGACUUGAAUGGGUUAAGAACAAAAUACAAAUUUACAAUGGCAGCCAAGUAAGAGGAAACACACUUCCAGGACAGAUGGCAACAACAUGUUGAUGUCUAACAUACUGUAGACACAAUUGGAUAACGAAUUGUGGGAUAUGUAUGUAGUAUGGAAUAAUCCAUUUUCUCUGUAAAAAAAAUAAACUGUUUGGGUGAUCAACUG